CCUACGGGUGGCAGCAGUGAGGAAUAUUGGUCAAUGGACGCAAGUCUGAACCAGCCAAGCCGCGUGCGGGAAGAAGGCUCUAUGAGUCGUAAACCUCUUUUGUACGAGGGCAAACGCAGGUACGCGUCUCUGUCUGAAAGUAUCUGACGAAAAAGCAUCGGCUAACUCCGUGCCCGCAGCCGCGGUAAUACGGAGGAUUCAAGCGUUUGCCGGAUUUAAUGGGUUUAAAGGGUUCGUAGGCGGUCGGGUAAGUCCGAGGGUAAAUCCCGGGGCUUAACGUCGGACCUGCCGUUGAUACUGUUCGUCGAGAGAGUGCUUGAAGUAGGCGGAAUGUGUGGUGUAGCGGUGAAAUGCAUAGAGAUCACACAGAACCCCGAUUGCGAAGGCAGCUUACCAGGUUCCUUCUGACGUUGAGGCACGAAAGCGUGGGGAGCGAACAGGAUUAGAUACCCCUGUAGUC
rnacentral:rRNA from 1 species